rnacentral:tRNA from 1 species
GGAGCUGUGGCUUAGUGGGGGAGCACUUGCCUAGCAUGUAUGAGGCACUGGGUUUGAUUCUCAGCACUCCA